rnacentral:rRNA from 1 species
AAGCGGAGGAAAAGAAACCAACAGGGAUUACCUCAGUAACGGCGAGUGAAGCGGUAACAGCUCAAAUUUGAAAUCUGGCUCUUUCAGGGUCCGAGUUGUAAUUUGUAGAAGAUGCUUCGGGUGUGGCUCCGGUCUAAGUUCCUUGGAACAGGACGUCAUAGAGGGUGAGAAUCCCGUAUGUGACUGGUUGCCUUCGCCCAUGUGAAGCUCUUUCGACGAGUCGAGUUGUUUGGGAAUGCAGCUCUAAAUGGGAGGUAAAUUUCUUCUAAAGCUAAAUAUUGGCCAGAGACCGAUAGCGCACAAGUAGAGUGAUCGAAAGAUGAAAAGCACUUUGGAAAGAGAGUUAAACAGUACGUGAAAUUGUUGAAAGGGAAGCGCUUGCAACCAGACUUGCCUGCCGUCGAUCAUCCUCCGUUCUCGGUGGUGCACUCGGCGGUGGUCAGGCCAGCAUCGGUUUUGGUGGUGGGAUAAAGACCUUAGGAAUGUGGCUCCUCUCGGGGAGUGUUAUAGCCUUCGGUGCAAUGCCGCCUACUGGGACCGAGGACCGCGCUCGGCUAGAUGCUGCGUACGCAU